GACACUCGACGAGCAUGUGGAGCCCCACCAAGCUUUUAUUUACAUGUGCACCAUUUCUCAUACAAACUAGAUUACGGUUCCAGAAAAAAACCCAAUGAGAACACAGGAAGAAUACCAACUAACAACAUUGAGAAGAUUAAUAAUACGGGACCAAGUUGAAAGGAUAGGGGGGCAGAGGGGAGCCUUUUUACAAAAAAUACAAAUGAGGUGAUUAUGCUUUUUUUUUAGUGGUUUUUGUCUCAUUUUUAUUUUUGAUGCUCUAAAUGCGCACUGCAGUUUUUGCGCGGAAGGCGAACGAACGGAGCCAAGGCCGAGACCUCAAACAAGUGAUUCUUACACUUUGUAAAGUCCAUCCAUCCAUUGCUUUUGCCGCUUAUCCUCACAAGGUUUCGCGGGGAGCGCCGGAGCCUAUCCCAGCUGUCAACGGGCAGGAGGCGGGGUACACCCUGAACUGGUCGCUAGCCAAUCGCAGGGCACAUCCAGACACACAGUCGCACUCACAAUCACACCUUGGGGAAAUUUAGAGUAUCCAAUUAUUGUUGCAUGUUGUUGGGAUGCGGGAGGAAACCGGAGUGCCCGGAGAAAACCCACGCAGGCACCGGAGAGACCAUGCAAACUCCACACGGGCGAGGGGGCGGGUCCUCAGAACCGUGAGGCCAACGCUUUACCAGCUGAUCCACCGUGCAGUCAGUGUAUUCAAAUUCAAACACUUAGUUUAGUUGAACUUGUUUUUUUUCAUUUUUUUUUUUUUUUUUUAAAAAAGGACAACACUGAACACAGCUGGAGUUUUUUUUUGUCUUACAUUACACGAAUAAUCAUGACGAACGCAGUCAAGACAGAGGAUGGUUCAAGUGGAGCUGAUUUAGCAAAUCGAAACACUGGUAGUUGUCCUCUUUGUGUUACAAUUGCUGUCAGGAGACGACGCCGUUGCAAUGCGGUUGCAGCCUGCUCGUGCACUUCAUCCUUAAAAACUGCACACUGACAGUCCUCUGCCUUGGUGAUAUAUAUUUUUAUAUAUAAAUGUAUAUAUACACAUCUGUACACUAUUAUACACAGUGGGGUCAAAGCCUUCAUUUUGCCCCCUCCCCGCCCUCUCCCAAUCCAGGGACUCCAGAUGCUACAACAAUGGUUACACAAUCUGCUUCAAGGAUACGUUUGAUGGCAACAGCGUUCCCUCCCGCCUGGCGCGUCAGAAGACUUCUUCAACUCUACCUUGGCGAGGUAACGAGGGGUCAAGUACUGCGAGGGAAUACGCGACGGGGACGUACAGCGGGUAAAUGCGCUUCACACACACACACGCAAAGGACAUAAUGCAUAAAUACAUCAAUUGUGUACAGUGGAAAAGGGGCGGCAGUUGACAAAAAGAAACAUGCGGCGAUGGGGAGUAGCCUACAGGAGCACCGGACGUUUGCAUGUCACCCCCCCCCCAAAAAAAAAAAGGCAAUAAUUAAUUCGGAAAUAAAUGCCCACGCUGAAAAUCUUACAAUCAUAAAGUCAGAUUAAAAAUCUGAUUUAAAAAAAAAAAAAAUCUGAUUUUCGACAAAAGUCGACAUGUCAUCAGAGUAAAAUUCUUGGGGGGGAAUAUAAAAGUUGUAAAUUCAUGAUCGAUCUGAUGAGAACGGAAAUAUCUUCAAGAAAAAUGUGCCAUGUUUGAGAAAGACGGGGUGUUUUGAGAAACUCAAGAAAAAGUCAGUCUUAUUAGAAAAGUCAUCAUAUGCGAAUAAAAGGCCUGAAUUUGCAAGAAAAAAUGAGUUAAAAGACAACUUUAGGAGGAAUAAUAUCAUGAAAACUGCUCUACUUUAAAUACAAGGGAAAAAUUGUAUUUUAUCAACGGGAAUUUUCCUUAGGAAAAACAAAUAAUAGUAUGAGGAAAAUUUUCGAUGAGUGAAUCUUAAAAUUCACACGCAAGCGUUAACACGGUUCUCAGGAACAACACGAAGCUUUGUGCUAUUACAAUAAACCCAUCUUGACACAAUAUCGUCAGCUCUUAUUGUUACUAUUCCCGAAAAUGAACACUUUUUCCGAUUAUGACUUUGUCAGACGUCAUUAUUCCUUCUCCAUUUCAGUGAGGCCAACAUCCAAAACGAAAAGUCAAAUCCAAACGGCGGACUUCCGCUCGUAGUCAUAUCCCGACCUUCCUCUUCAAUGUCGACGGGUCGAAAAGUUCACAGGUCACGAGUUCACAAAGCGUCUCUGUAACAUUUACCAAAUUAUGGAAAUCUUCAUUUGAAUGAAAAUAUCUUUAGAAUAGGCCCCGCCCUAACCUUAUCUCCUUCCCUCCCCCUGAGUGUUGCUCUACAUAUUAUGCAUUAAAAACAAAAAUCCCCACCAGUUGAUGACAAGACUGCUGCACACACACUUGUAUUUGUCUUUAAUAUCUGUGUGUGUGUUUUGAAACGUGCAUACGAGUGGCGUGAUUUUGGCUGCCAACAUGAUUCUACUGCUUGAUUCAAGUAAUUUGGCAACAUAUAGACGAGACAGCUUAUUGUUUCCAGAAAAUGGCUGCUGGAGGAAUAACCUCCACCCCCCUCCCAACUCACCUCCCAUCAUGCACCGGGGGGGUCACGCUCCUUUACCCGCCAUGCGCGGCUGCAGCUUUAUAGGCCGUUUUUGCAAGUCGAGGGUCAAAACUGCACCCGAUUCGGAACGGAACUAAAAAAAAAAACAAAAACGCACGAGGUGCUCCGAGGACAAAAUUCAACAGUUUUUUUUUUUUUUUUUUUUACAUAGCACCUGUAAUGCUGUGGAAAUGUUCACAUCACUAGAACACAGGUAUUCACUUAUUUUUUUUUUUUUAGCUACAUUAUUUGCUGUGAUCAAUUUAAAAAGCCUUCUCAAACUGUACAAAUAACCACAAGUGAGAUUUUCUUUCUAUUUGCCUUUUUUUCUCCUUUUUUUUCAUGUCUCUGCAUUAAAACCAAAAAAGUGAAACAAUCCAACGUUGUAGUCGUCGAAACUUUUCCGUUCAAGCCAUACGUAGGAAGUGCGUCGGUGUUCGCCUUAAGGGCGCGCGAGUUUCAACGCUAGUCGACGUAACUGAAAUUCCGAAUAACAAACACUGAACACUUAAAAAAAAAAAAAAAAUCACAGAAGGGGAGUGUAGAAGUAAAUACAACCUCCCCACAAAAAAAAAAAUACACUGGAUCAGAUUUUACACACCUUCUCCACGGCAGUUUCUUUUUGUUUUGAACAUUGAUCAAGAACAUCGUGCACCCAUUUGUUGUUCGUCUUUGUAGUCCCGCCCGAUGACCGGCGUCUCUUUGAGAGUCUUACACGUGAGGAAACUUGCAUAAUUCAAGAGUUUUGUUGUAACUUUUUUUUUCUUCUUCUUGUUAUCGUUUCACAGGAGGCUCCUUCCGAAGCGUUGGAUCGCUUAAAAAGUCCUGCGGCUCGUUUCCCAGAGACGAGUGUUCGUCGUGUAAACACAAGGUUUUAGAAGCCCUGCUCGAUCAGCCCGAACACCUUAUUAUCGUAGAGGUUGUCGACGAGGGUGGUGAAGCGCCUGACUUGGUCCUUCGCACGCAGCGUCAGCAUGGGAACGCGCCGGAUGAACACAACGUCGAAGACCCGCGCCAACGCCAGGCAAAUCGCGUUAAACGACUCACUCUGCCGCGCAGCUCGUGGAAAGUGCAGUCCGCGACGGAGCCGCAGGUCUUCGCCAGCCUCACUUGCCUGCCCAGCACGGUGAGCACCCGAGGACCGGCGGCUGCGGAAACACACCCCCGUCCCGUCAGAUGACCCAUCAUCUCCAACUCUUCCACCUUUUUCCGCUUCAUUGUGCAAAGAGCGGAGGACCCCCGCGGCCCCUCCGAAAAUGCGCGGCGUCUUCCUCGGUCCGACAAAACGGAAAACAAGCAACGGAGGAAUGGAUUGCGCGGCGACAACAACAGAGCGCAACGCGUCGCCUCCAUUCUUCCCGGCCGCCAUUCAAAGCGCCCAACCUGUAAUACGCGGUUCAAACUUUCCCGGCGCGGCGUACAAUGUCAACAGGAUUCACGCCAGGGAGGACGGCGCAAACCGUAAUCAUCAUCCCCGCUAUUCUUCGCCGAGAAAAGACGGGAAUUACUGCGCCUCGGUCUCAUCAAUGCCAUCAGGGCGGACCGGCUGAGCGCUCGACGGCGCGUUCUGAAAUCAGCAAAUUUCUGCCACUGGCCUCCUUCAGCCGCGGGGAUAAUUAGCAAUCAUCAUAAAGCAAGAGGCCGGAAAUACGCCAUUCUUCGCCGCUGUCAACUUUUAUAUCAGCGCGUCCGCUCCGAGCCAAUUGGCGGAAUCGGGCUUAAUAACAACCUGGCGGAGUCGCCCUCCCCCUCGCUCGCACAAAAGGGACUUGUCAUUCCGUCGACCCGCCGCGACCCCGCCGACGCCUGCGAAAUAAGGGGAAGAAGGUAGGGAGACGUCACAAUCAUUAGAACCCGGCGCUAUUGUCUUCGGCCUCCCUUUAUCAACUCGCCGCGGAGGUGCGCAAAUAACAGCGAGGGAAGGACGAGGCACUGGAAAACACAAUCAGCCGUGAUGAUUCGCCGCGUUAUUUAUAAUCAGAUGAGGCCCAGGCCACGCGGGUCAUUACUUGAUUAUCCGUCUCGAGGGCUUUUGUCACAUCCUCCGAGAUUUAAUCCGCCUACGCGUCGCCGGCUCCCCGGCACGCCCGGCCGCCGCCACGCUUCCCCUCGCGGGCUGGCUUUCGUUUUGAAAUGAGCCGUUGAGGGGUGACGAGAAACAAAAGCUCGGUCAAGUUCUUGCGAGAGUUUACGAAGGAAUCCUGCAAAAUCAAAAAAACAAAAAAACCUCAAUUUCAUCCGGAAAUCAAACAGUUUUGGACGAAAUGUGACAAAAAUGUGACAAUAGGCUUCCGUGGUGUACAUUUUUAAAAAAACUAUAUUUCUAAAUUACAAAGCAGCAUUAGUGUUAAAAAAAAAAAAGUUAAAUUACAAGAAAAAAGUUCUGACAUUACAAGUUUUUUUAUGCAUGAAGUCCUACAAAAAUAACGCGUGCAUAAGCAUCGGUGACAUAAAUUUGUUGUCUUUUGAA